rnacentral:rRNA from 1 species
AUGGGGAACAAUCUGACGCGCCGUCCCGAACGGAUCUUUGAUGAUGGGCGCGGAGAAGGAAUAGGGACCGUUCUGAUCAAUAGCGGCUGCAAGCCAAGCUUGAUUUGCCAUUGUAAAUUAUCCCGCAACGAUAUUCUGAAGCCGAUUAUUUGGCAGCACAUGGACGACAACGAUUCUCAUCCCCAACCAACCCGCCCCGAAGUAUUUUCAGAUCCAUCAGGCGGCUCCCCCCGAAAGUUAAACCGCAGCAGACAGAUAGCAUCAAAAGAUCCGUUUGGAAUCCUUCCAGAGGAAUUGUUGUGCACUAUCCUGUCAAAACUGGAUCUGAAAGAGGCUGCAAAGACUAGUAUUCUGUCUAGUACAUGGAGGCAUACCUGGAAACAUUAUCCUAAACUAACCUUCGAUAUUUUGACUAUGUGCGGUGGUAAAUACAAGACCAGGGAGCAGCGGCAUAUCCAGACGCCCGAAUGUGUGGACAGGGUGCAUUAUGUCCAGCAAUUCGUCAAUAUUGUGAACACAAUAUUGUACCAGCACCAGGGCAAGACAAUUGAACGGUUUGAGCUCAGAUUGACUGUUGAUGUGCUUGCCCAACUAUUUGAUCAGCUUGAUGAUUGGGUUCGUUAUGCGGUUUCAUCACGGACAAAGAAUCUAAUUCUUCAUGUGUCGCUAACCCCUCUCGACGUGUUCCAUUAUAAACGGUAUGUUUUUCCAGUGCAAUUGUUGGACGCUGGAAGUUGCCUGCAGCAUAUUCAGCUUGCCCAUGUAUUGCUCAAAGUGCCUUCUCAGUUUGUCGGUUUUCCAAAUCUGAGGAGGCUUGGUCUAUACUCCACACGUGUGUCUGCAAGUGAUAUGCAAUGUAUGGUGUCCAAUUGCCCUAAUAUAGAGUGGUUGGAUCUGUUUAUGGUUCAUCUAAACGAUGAACUCAAAGUGGACAGGCCAUUGUCCUGCCUGCUAUACCUUCGUCUGAGUGACUGCAGGGUAACUACGAUAGAACUCAACGCCCCCAAGCUCCAAACCUUUAUAUUCCAAGGGAGGCUGGUGCCUAUUCACCUUGGCGAAUCUUCAGAACUGCACAAUAUUGUUAUUCAUUCUUAUACACUAACACUAGAGCAAGCUAUUUGUUCAUUUGCUGAUGCGUAUCCACUAGUGCAACGCCUGACUCUGUGUCACACUUGUGCACUACCGAAGUUCCCCUGGCGAUUGGACAAUACUUCUAGCUUUUCUCAUUUGAGAUAUUUACAACUGUUGUUGAAUAUCUUCUCUGAACAUGCCAACGACAUUCUCUCUAUUGCAUAUUUUCUAGAGGCUGCUCCAUUCCUUCAGGAGUUUGAUUUGGAGUUUAGAUCAUCAUGCAUGGAUGUUGUUCCGGGGCCUUUAAGGAUCUUCCCAUAUGGGCAAGACAAGUACAAGUAUCUAACGAUCUUUAGAGUUUUUGAAUUUAGAGGCGAAAAGAGCAAAGUUGAACUUAUAGUUCACGUUGUGCAAAAUGCCCCUUCACUUGAGAAUCUAACUAUAGACCCAAGAAGGCAGCAUGUUUUAGAUGAUUCACCUGCUAGUGAAGCUGAAGAAAAACGUCUCUCUGAGAUCCGUCAUAUCGCCAAAAGUUUAAUCGAGUACGAGCUUAAUGAGCAGAGAGCCUCAAGCACGAGCAACCCGUUAAUCUGUCCCAAAUGUAGCCACCGGCUCUCGCCACAUGGUGAUGGCCUCUCUAGGUUGGAUGUUGGAAAGAGCAAACCAUAG